AGGGGCAUCAGGAAGAAAGCUUGCUUUCUUUGCUGGCGACCGGCGCACGGGUGAGUAACACGUAUCCAACCUGCCCUUUACUCGGGGAUAGCCUUUCGAAAGAAAGAUUAAUACCUGAUAGUAUGGUGAGAUUGCAUGAUAACACCAUUAAAGAUUUAUUGGUAAACGAUGGGGAUGCGUUCCAUUAGGUUGUUGGUGAGGUAACGGCUCACCAAGCCUUCGAUGGAUAGGGGUUCUGAGAGGAAGGUCCCCACACUGGUACUGAGACACGGACCAGACUCC
rnacentral:rRNA from 1 species